CCUACGGGGGGCAGCAGUGAGGAAUAUUGGUCAAUGGACGCGAGCCUGAACCAGCCAAGUCGCGUGAAGGAAGACGGCUCUAUGAAUUGUAAACCGCUUUUGUAGGAGGGCAAAAGCAGAGACGCGUAGCGGUCUGAGAGUAACCGACGAAAAAGGAUCGGCUAACUCCGUGCCAGCAGCCGCGGUAAUACGGAGGAUGCGAGCGUUAUCCGGAUUUAUUGGGUUUAAAGGGUGGGUAGGCGGGCAGAUAAGUUAGAGGUUAAAUCGGGAGGCUCAACUUCGGUCGUGCCGUUGAUACUGGUUGGCUAGAGAGUAGUUGCGGUAUGCGGAAUGCAUGGUGUAGCGGUGAAAUGCUUAGAUAUCACGCAGAACACCGAUUGCGAAGGCAGCUUACC
rnacentral:rRNA from 1 species